AACGAACGCUGGCGGCAUGCCUAACACAUGCAAGUCGAACGAGACCUUCGGGUCUAGUGGCGCACGGGUGCGUAACGCGUGGAAACCUGCCCUUAGGUUCGGAAUAACUCCCCGAAAGGGGUGCUAAUACCGGAUAAUGUCUUCGGACCAAAGAUUUAUCGCCUUUGGAUGGGCCCGCGUUGGAUUAGCUAGUUGGUAGGGUAAAAGCCUACCAAGGCGACGAUCCAUAGCUGGUCUGAGAGGAUGAUCAGCCACACUGGGACUGAGACACGGCCCAGACUCCUACGGGAGGCAGCAGUGGGGAAUAUUGGACAAUGGGCGAAAGCCUGAUCCAGCAAGGCCGCGUGAGUGAUGAAGGCCUUAGGGUUGUAAAGCUCUUUUACCCGGGAUGAUAAUGACAGUACCGGGAGAAUAAGCUCCGGCUAACUCCGU
rnacentral:rRNA from 1 species